UGCUGCUGCUGCUGAUGUAACGGGCCACACUGGCUGAACUUCAGCGAGCGGACCGUCCGAACGGAUCUGAACCGGACCGCAUUUACUGACAUCAAAUGAAGAGAGUGUUUACGAUACAUUGAAGGAAAAGCUAGAUAAUCUGAUUAAAUCUCGGUUCUGAUUUGGGGAAGCGAAGCGGACCCGGACUGAGGAUUUUGGCUGCCCGGGACUGCAGACACACGCAGUGAUAAGAGCAGCAUGCAGACCAGAGAGCUUGUAACGGGUGUCUGCAGAAGUGAGGAAUGACAUCAUCCAGAUGAGAGGCAUGGAGCUGAAGGUGUGGGUGGAUGGAGUGCAGCGCAUCGUCUGUGGUGUCACCGAGGUCACCACAUGUCAAGAGGUUGUGAUCGCUUUGGCCCAAGCAAUAGGGCGGACUGGUCGCUAUACGCUGAUUGAAAAAUGGCGUGAGACAGAGAGGCACCUGGCACCCCAUGAGAAUCCUGUGGUUUCUCUGAAUAAGUGGGGUCAGUACGCUAGUGAUGUGCAGUUGGUGCUUCAACGUACAGGCCCUUCUCUGAGCGAGCGCCCCACCUCGGACACCUCUCCGAGAGCCCCUGAGCGCAGCCUAUAUCGCCAAAGUCUUCCUCCCAUGGCAAAGCUCCGGCCCACAGCCAACGAUCGUUCCCUAAAACGCCGUGAACCAAAACGCAAGUCCCUCACUUUCACAGGUGGUGCUAAGGGGUUGCGUGACAUCUUCGGGAAGAGUCGUGAGGGUGAGACCAAGCAAAGAACGGUGAACACAAUCCGCAGCAGCACACCGGCACCUACGCAGGAGCUGUCCCUUCUGGUGCAGUUGCAGAAAGAUAAACUGCGCGUCCUAGAGCAGAAACUGCAACGCUGUGAAACUGAGUUGCAGCAGCAAUUGACGGAGGAAGAAGAAGAGGAGCUAGUCGAACUAGAGCAGCAGGUCCGCAGGAAUGAGGCGGAGAUGAAGGAGCAUGAAUUCUGGGAGAAUGAGCUGCAGAUUGAGCAGGACAACGAGAGGCAACUGCGUGCGCAGCUGCAGGAACUGCGUAGCCGUGUACAAGAGUGCGAGGAGCAGCUGGGAGAGUACCUGGCUCGUAUUCAGUGCAUGGAGGCAGGGCUGGAGGCAGAGCGCUUACAACAAGAGCUGAUGGAAACGCGAAUAGCAGAUGAAAUUGAGGUACAGUCGCGACUGGACAAGGCCCGUGCCGAGCUGGACGUGCAGGUGCAGCAGGCUGCAAGACUGGAGAGCAACUGCAGAGCUGUGGAGCUCUCGCUUGGGCAGUCAAACAUUAGGCUACAGGAGAGAGAGCAGGAGCUGGAACAAUUAACUAAGGAGCUAAGGCAGGUAAACCUUCAACAGUUUAUUCAACAGACUGGCACCAAAGUAACAGUUCUACCAGCAGACCCUGGUGAGGAGGAAGAUAACACAGAGUCAGAAAAUCAGUCUGGAUCUCUGAAGCGGCUUGGAUCAGCCCGACAACUUCCCGCUGACCUACGAGUUCUGCAGAGCCCCCUGAACACGACCUUUAACCCGGAAGGCAUCUAUGUCUGAUUUUGCACCGGCAUCAACAUCUAAAUGCAGUCAAUUUCCCACAUGACUCCACAUCACUCCGAGACCAUGAUUCAGAGUCUUCGGCGAGAUCACACUCCUAGGAAAUAUAGAGGUAUCUCAUGUUCACGGUGAAGAUUCCUUCCUCUUGAUGGCUGUUUGACUAAUCCAACCCAAUCAGUGCUUUCUCCAAAUCCUACAAAGACAACUCCAGCUGAAUGUAUGCUCACUUUCACUGGACCCAAAACGCAGUAAGGCUUUUAACAUGUAUUGAACAAGGCAACUACUAAACUCAUACAGAAAAAAAGGACAGAAUACAUGCUGCCUCAGCCUAAGUUCAAUCCAUUGACCUUUUGGUGCAAGUUAGAAAAUGCAGCAUCAUGAUGUCUUUCAUUUCUAGAAUGUUUCUCAAUCUCCAGGUAAACCUCACACUCAAUGCGAUAUGCAAGCAGCAGGAUUUUAGGGAGAUGCAAAGAGAUCGUGGAGGAUGAUAAAUUAUGCAGUUUAUGUUUUAUGGCUCAUAGUCGUGAUGAAAGCUCAUAGAAGUGAUGAAAGCUCAUAGAAAGGGGUGGGGUUUCGCCUUAGUUUGCACUUUAUUGGCCAAAACAUCUGCUGUGGAAUUUCACAGAAAUCUUAAAAGCUGAAGAAUAAUUUUCUGCGUUUGAUCGCACUAAUCAGGAAAACAGGUGCAUGCGAUAUUUUAAAGUGUGAAAGUGACGAAGAGAGGUGUUUUUGCAUGAAAGCAGCUUGUGACAAGUGAACUUUGUUACCUUUUAAAAUGAAGCAACCUGAUUUUGUGCUGAACUGCUUAGUUUAAAAAGUAGCCUUUUAAAUAAUGCAAGUACAGAACAAUGUAGUUACACACAAGUCAUUCUAAUGACUGGUCUAGAUCAAUGUGUUCUGUCAGUAAACCUUUUUGGCCAAUGAAUGCAUUUUAUUUCUGUUUAUUUCUGCAAGUUACUUUUUUUUAUUUACCUGAUCUCACUAAAAUGCUAUCCACAUACUAGCAAAGAUCACACUAGUUGCAUAUAUUUUAAACUAAACUGUUUUACUAGUUUUCAGAACUAUAUUUUAUUUCAGAUUAAACCAAAGUGUUCUGGAAGUCAUGAAUGUAGAGAUUUGUAAUUGUGCAAAGGGAUGCAGCUCCAAAAUAUUUUGUUGAUGACAUUUUUUUUUUUGUGAAUGUUUUAACUGUAGUAGCACCUGCUUCCCUUAAAAACACAUUCACAGAGAUGCAGAAUGACUCAAUUUAUUUUUAAAUUUAGCAAGGAGCUCUUGAUGGUGUGAAUAAGGAAUUGCUCAUUUAGAUUUGCUGCAGUUGCUUCUGGAUUUGUUUGGAUAUUUUUGUAAACUAAUUGAACUGAUUUUAUUUUUUUAUUUUUUUUC